CUGUACAAAAGCCAGGAUCGUAGUGUGUCAGUGUCAAUUUCCUGAGGACACUUUCAGAAAAGCUGGAGAGACAGCAACGUGUGAAGGGAAUGAGGUCAGAAUUUACUGAGAGGACCAUUUACUCUUAGAAGGAAUACGGCGGGACAGUGAGGUUCUGCACCGACUGAAAGAAGAUGUCCAGAGGUGCACCAUGUAAAUUCACCAACUGCUAUUUCAAAGACCACAGAAAGAAGAUGAUUGGUGGAGACCUACAGUUCAUUCAGCACUCUAAGUCUUUAUUAUAGUUCUCGGCGGACACAACAUCUUUGUUUGUAUGUGGUGCUGAGGCUCGAACCCGGGCCGCACGCACGCCAGGAUUAAAAUGGACAGCCUGAAAUAACAUUUGGACCGAAACCUAAAUAAUGGACACAAGUCACCACCAUUUUAGAGCUGGAAAAAAACUAAGAUCACCAUAAAUUGAGCUGCUCUGCUCUACCGGUGUACACCCUGUUUACCAUCCAAUCAAGCGAGGGCUUUCUUGAGAGAAGAAGACAAUUCCUGCUUGGCUGCUUGAUCUGGAGCAUUAGUCUUCUGCCGUUGGACUGGAACUUAUUUGGCUUUCCUGAUUCCCAGGUCUUUUAGUACAUACUGGGACUGUGCCAUCAACUCUCGUGGAUCUACAGGUUCCUGACUACAGGUCUUGGGACUUCUCAGCCUAAAACUUUGUAAUUGUAUGAACCCAUACCUUAUAAUGAUAUCUUUAUAGAUACAUGUAUAUGUAUGUGCACAUUUAUGCACAUGUGUUUCCUAAAGGAUUGUAUUUUUCUAGCCAAUCCAAUCUAAUGCUGAUUUCAAUUUUGGAAAUGGAAUGCUCCUGGAACAAAUAUCCACAAGUAGAAAAGAAGUUUUUUAAAUGGGUAAUAGAAAGAUGCUGCACUAGUUUUUAAGUGCUUACUAUAAAUAUAGACACAUUAGUAAUUCUGGUGAGAUCUCAGUAAGGAAUAUUUUAUUGGAAACUGGGAGGAUAGUUUAUUAUUAUAAAUUAGCAAAGACAUGUUUAAUUAGCAAAGACUGUAUUCUAGUGUUUUGUAAAAGAGAACUUGUGAUCAACAAAAUUAGAUAUUUAGGUAAGGAGAUUCCAAAAAAUAAAUAUUAAAGGAGUGGCUUAGUUUCUCCUGACUGCUUCCAAUAAAGUAUGAGAGAAGAGAUGAUUAAAGGAGGAAUUGUUAAGCUUAAAGAAACCAGAACAUAAAUGCUUGAAAAAAAAUGUCAGCCUGUUCAUAUUGCAAAAAAAUGAGGAAGCAUAUUCAGAAAAGAACGUCAAAAUGUUGCUGGGCUAUUACUCAAUAAAGAGCUCAUGGGAUUAUAUGAGCAGAAACACUAUUCACUUUAAUGAAGUUGACAGGGAUGGAAUGAAAUGAAGGGGGGGGGUGUUGAACUCCUUAGAUUCUAAGAAUGGAACCAUGUAGUUAUUUCGCCUUUGAAACCUUUAAAUAUCCCCCCCUCCAGAAAAAAAGGAAAGAAGCAGUAUGGAGAUUUCUUGGAAGAUUGGUAAUGGAACCACCAUUUGACCCAGCUUUUCCCUCUCCUUGGUCUAUACCCAAAGGACUUAAAAACUGCAUACU